AGAGUGUAUAACAUUGCCAGUGUGGGGCUAGAGUGUACACUCUAGUCACACACUGGCAAUGUUAUACACU
rnacentral:pre_miRNA from 1 species